GAAGCCCCCCUUGAGAUGAGAUUUCCCUUUGCUUUAAGCAAAUAAGAUCCCUCAGAGACGAUGAGGUUGAUAGGUCCGAAGUGGAAGCGUGGUGACACGUGGAGCUGACGGAUACUAAUGGAUCGAUGACUUAUCUA
rnacentral:rRNA from 1 species